GACGAACGCUGGCGGCGUGCUUAACACAUGCAAGUCGAACGGAAAGGCCCUGCUUUUGUGGGGUGCUCGAGUGGCGAACGGGUGAGUAACACGUGAGUAACCUGCCCUUGACUUUGGGAUAACUUCAGGAAACUGGGGCUAAUACCGGAUAGGAGCUCCUGCUGCAUGGUGGGGGUUGGAAAGUUUCGGCGGUUGGGGAUGGACUCGCGGCUUAUCAGCUUGUUGGUGGGGUAGUGGCUUACCAAGGCUUUGACGGGUAGCCGGCCUGAGAGGGUGACCGGCCACAUUGGGACUGAGAUACGGCCCAGACUCCUACGGGAGGCAGCAGGGGGGAAUAUUGCACAAUGGGCGGAAGCCUGAUGCAGCAACGCCGCGUGCGGGAUGACGGCCUUCGGGUUGUAAACCGCUUUCGCCUGGGACGAAGCGGGAGUGACGGUAAUGGGUAAAGAAGCACCGGCUAACUACGUG
rnacentral:rRNA from 1 species